UUAAAAAGCUCGUAGUUGGAUCUCAGCAGUUUGAGGUUGGUGUACUUGCUAGUAUUACUGCCCUAUAGACUGUAGUUUUGCCAGAGGUAGUUGGGUGCUCUUAAUCGAGUGUCCUAUUAUGCUGGCAGGUUUACUUUGAAAAAAUUAGAGUGCUCAAAGCAGGCUAUUACGCCUGAAUAUUCGUGCAUGGAAUAAUAGAAUAGGAAGUCGUUUCUAUUUUGUUGGUUUUUAAGUUUCGACUUAAUGAUUAAUAGGGACAAACGGGGGCAUUAGUAUUCAAGCGACAGAGGUGAAAUUCUUGGACCGCUUGAAGACUAACUACUGCGAAAGCAUUUGCCAAGAGUGUUUUCAUUAAUCAAGAACGAAAGUUAGAGGUUCGAAGGCGAUUAGAUACCGCCCUAGUUCUAACCAUAAACGAUGCCAGCUAGCC
rnacentral:rRNA from 1 species